AUUGAACGCUGGCGGCAGGCUUAACACAUGCAAGUCGAGCGAGCGGCGGACGUGUGAGUAAUGUCUGGGAAACUGCCUGAUGGAGGGGGAUAACUACUGGAAACGGUAGCUAAUACCGCAUACCAUCAGAUGUGCCCAGAUGGGAUUAGCUAGUAGGUGGGGUAAUGGCUCACCUAGGCGACGAUCCCUAGCUGGUCUGAGAGGAUGACCAGCCACAGUGGAACGGAGACACGGUCCAGACUCCUACGGGAGGCAGCAGUGGGGAAUAUUGCAAAAUGGGCGCAAGCAGAAAGCAGCCAUGCCGGGUGUGUGAAGAAGGCCUUCGGGUUGUAAAGCACUUUCAGCGAGGAGGCGUUACUAGCAGAAGAAGCACCGGCUAACUCCGUGCCAGCCGCGCGGUAAUUC
rnacentral:rRNA from 1 species